rnacentral:lncRNA from 1 species
GCCCACAAAAAAAACUAUACAAAGAUGCCAUCCCUCCAAACAAAUCCAAACUCUCAGAAAUUUGCAGAGAUUUGAUCUCUCCAAACAGAAUAUCUCUAGAUAGGACCAAAAUCUCAUGGUCGCAUGCAUAUAAAAAACCUCUCGGCAUCCGAACAACCUUGUACAUCAUCUUCCUCCAUUGAACAACACUUUAAGGUCAACUUCCUCCAACCAGUGGCACUUCGGCAUUGGGCACCAGCCGGCUCCGUUGAACAACUAGAUCACCUCCAGUAUGUACGAUCUGCAUGAAAUUAUAGAUCAGACCUAUUAAUGGAUAAUGAGAGGAUGUAGCCCACUAUACCCCCACAAAAAAAUGAAAAACAAAUGGAGACCCUCAAUUACUCUGGGCAGUGCUAAACUAAAAUAUUAUUCUAGCGUGAUCCUCUACUAUAUUUUGGGUUGUGGGAUGGCUUCAAUAGGCCUCAAAUCCAUUAAGAAGCACAUGACAGUGCAGUAUGGUAAUAACUUGGAGUUUGUAGAUUAGAUAAUGGUUCACAUAAUACUUUGCAUGAGUACCUCAGUAAUUUUGUCUAAUAAAGUACUCCCUCCGUUCCAAAAUAGAUGACCCAACUUUGUACUAACUUUAGUACAAAGUUGGGUCAUCCAUUUUGGAACGGAGGGAGGACCUCAUUAAUCAGGUAGAGAUUGCUUCGGUCGGCUUCUACUAGAAAAUACUCACGAUAUUUGUGUAUUCACAUGAUGAUAAAAACUUAAGUUCCUCUUUAUCAUUAAAGAUUUCUGCAAAUCACUAGUCUCGAAAAUUGAUCUCCUUUACUUGUACGACCAAAAAAAUAUUUAUAGGGUGAGAAGUAAUAAAAAUAAUGAAUAUUCAUAAACUUGAGCAUUAAUCUUUAAUAGUAGCACACCCACCAUCAAGCGGGGCAGCUGGUCAAGGUCUCAAGCGGCCGAGAAGGGUACUCCCCAUGUCCAAUGACCAGCUGGAGCACCGCCAUGAUAUUUAUCGUCGUCCAUCGCCACAGCAAAGCACGAUCUCUAGGUCCACCACUGUUUGUAAUAAUAUUAUAAUUAGCUUUAUUUGAUUUUUUCAAGAAAACACAAAAGAGCUUGCAUUUCAUUGGAUUGAAAAGAGAGCUUUACCUUUAUAUUUGCACUCUCUAAUGUGCAGGAAUCAACAAUGAAAAGAAAAGAUGGGCCACAUAACAAGGAAGGUUAGAAACCUGCCAAGAUGGUUAAAACAAAACAUAUAUGUAAUCCAACAAGGUGAUCCGUUACUAAUGAUGAAUAUUUUGUGUGUGCUAUCACAACAAAAUUAAAACAAAAAAUGCAACAGUUCCAGUUAGGCGUUGGAGGUUCCUAAUUGAUUUUAGCUUCAACGAUAAAACGUAUUUUAAAUUGUUAUCUUAUUGAUGCAAUUCAAGACAAUCAACAAAAAUGGCAAGAUUGGAAGGAGAAUGGAACUUCAAGACAAGAAAAAGAUACAACCUCCAAUCAUAAAUGGAGAUGUGCC